rnacentral:rRNA from 1 species
AGUGAACGCUGGCGGUAGGCCUAACACAUGCAAGUCGAACGGCAGCACAGUAAGAGUUUGCUCUUACGGGUGGCGAGUGGCGGACGGGUGAGGAAUACAUCGGAAUCUACUUUUACGUGGGGGAUAACGGAGGGAAACUGAUGCUAAUACCGCAUACGACCUACGGGUGAAAGCAGGGGAUCUUGAGAGCUUGCGCGACAGAAUGAGCCGAUGCCGGAUUAGCUAGGUGGUGGGGUAAAGGCCCACCAAGGCGACGAUCCGUAGCUGAUCUGAGAGGAUGAUCGGCCACACUGGAACUGAGACACGGUCCAGACUCCUACGGGAGGCAGCAGUAGGGAAUAUUGCGCAAUGGGCGCAAGCCUGACCCAGCCAUGCCGCGUGAGUGAUGAAGGCCUUCGGGUUGUAAAACCCUUUUGUUGGGAAAGAAAAACAGCAGAUUAAUCCACCGCUGUUCUGACGGUACCCAAAGAGUAAGCCCCGGCUAACUUCGUG